GUUUGAUCAUGGCUCAGAACGUACGCUGGCGGCACGCCUAACACAUGCAAGUCGAACGCAGUAGCAAUACUGAGUGGCAAACGGGUGAGUAUAAUGUGGGAAUCUGCCUUUUGGUUUGGAAUAACACGGGGAAACUUGUGCUAAUACCGAAUAAGCCCUUACGGGGAAAGUUUUAAUGCCGAAAGAUGAGCCCGCACUUGAUUAGCUAGUUGGUAAGGUAAAAGCUUACCAAGGCAAUGAUCAAUAGCUGUUCUUAGAGGAAGACCAGCCACAUUGGGACUGAGACACGGCCCAGACUCCUACGGGAGGCAGCAGUGGGGAAUCUUGCACAAUGGGGGAAACCCUGAUGCAGCGAUGCCGCGUGAGUGAAGAAGGCCCUUGGGUUGUAAAACUCUUUCGUCGGGGAAGAAAAUGACUGUACCCGAAUAAGAAGGUCCGGCUAACUUCGUGCCAGCAGCCGCGGUAAUACGAAGGGACCUAGCGUAGUUCGGAAUUACUGGGCUUAAAGAGCUCGUAGGUGGUUAAAAAAGUUGAUGGUGAAAUCCCAAGGCUUAACCUUGGAACUGCCAUCAAAACUUUUUAGCUAGAGUGUGAUAGAGGUAAGUGGAAUUUCUAGUGUAGAGGUGAAAUUCGUAGAUAUUAGAAAGAACACCAAAUGCGAAGGCAACUUACUGGGUCACUACUGACACUGAGGAGCGAAAGCAUGGGUAGCGAAGAGGAUUAGAUACCCUCGUAGUCCAUGCCGUAAACGAUGUGUGCUAGACGUUGGAAAUAUAUUUUUCAGUGUCGCAGCGAAAGCAUUAAGCACACCGCCUGGGGAGUACGACCGCAAGGUUAAAACUCAAAUGAAUUGACGGGGACCCGCACAAGCAGUGGAGCAUGUGGUUUAAUUCGAAGAUACGCGCAGAACCUUACCAACACUUGACAUGUUCGUCGCGAAACUAAGAGAUUAGAGUUUUCGGUUCGGCCGGACGAAACACAGGUGCUGCAUGGCUGUCGUCAGCUCGUGUCGUGAGAUGUUGGGUUAAGUCCCGCAACGAGCGCAACCCUCACUUUUAGUUGCCAUCAUUAAGUUGGGCACUCUGAAAGAACUGCCAGUGAUAAGCUGGAGGAAGGUGGGGAUGACGUCAAGUCCUCAUGGCCCUUACGUGUUGGGCUACACACGUGCUACAAUGGUAAGUACAAUGAGAUGCCGAGCAGCGAUGCUUAGCCAAACUCAAAAACUUACCUCAGUUCGGAUUGCACUCUGCAACUCGAGUGCAUGAAGCUGGAAUCGCUAGUAAUCGUGGAUCAGCGUGCCACGGUGAAUACGUUCCCGGGUCUUGUACACACCGCCCGUCACACCAUGGAAAUUGGUUUUACCUUAAGGCAAGGUUUCAAACCCUUGACCACGGUAUAGUCAGCGACUGGGGUGAAGUCAUAACAAGGUAACCGU
rnacentral:rRNA from 1 species